UCCUGUGAUCCUCGGGACGAUCCCCGCGCGCCUCCCAAGGUCACGGGCCCGCUCCCCCCGCGCCAUCUGGCGCCUCCGAGUUCCAGCAGGGAUGGAUCUUCUGCUGGGGCUGCAGCAAGAAGCCAGGCGCUCGGGCGCUCGUGGUUCGGGGGGCGCGUCGUGGUUCAGGGGGAGACAUCGCUGCCUGCGAGGGGCAGACGCCGUCUCCAUCUCUACACGGAGGGUUUGCGCCCAGGCCUGAGGUGGCUGUGUACUGGGAAGAUGGCAUGGACGAGGAGCCCCCGCUGCGUCUGUUUUGCGUAUUGGGGUGCCUUUGAAAUGAGGGUGGACAUUUCCUUUUCUCCACUAGCCGCAGAGCCUGGGGCGCCAGGCGCAAAGGAUGGAGACGACACCCCUGGGCCUGGGGCCCUCGGCUCUGCUCCCCCCGGGCUCCCUCCUGGGAUCGAAGCAGCUGAAGGAGGCGCCCUAGACGGGGUGGAGAUCUGAGAUGCUGGGCGCACCCAGCCCCCGCGGCCCCCCCUCCCGUCACCUAGGCAACGGGGGGGGUGCAGCACGGCUCCCUCUGCACCCCCUCCAGCGCAGGCCGCCUUCCCGCUGCUCGGUCUCAGCUCGCGGCUUCCCGGGACUGGACCUGGGAGUUGCACCGUUAGAGCUGCUUUUUUUUUGUGAGCAUGGAAACCAGAUUCCAGGCGGGGGCCCCAAGUCGCUAAAAUAAUCCUGGUUUGCAUGCCGCGUUUGCCUUUCUGGCCGGCGCGCUGCAGGCGCAGGUCUGACCUUGCCAGCUCGGCGUGUGCAGAGCUUGGUGAGGCCUGAGUUGGGGGCUCCGUGGUGCUCCAAGAGGCUGGGGACAGGCAGGGACCUAGAGAGCCCUUUAGACAGCUGGGGGAGGGUCACCUGCCCUGGGGGCUGGGUAGUUCUGUGCUCCAGGGGGCCUCAGGAGCUCAGAGUCCCCGAAUUCAAGUUGGCUUGGGGUUAAUCUCUGCGAUCAGGCAUGGGGGCUGGGGGCCAGCGCGGGCUCCCCAUGACACUCCAGCGGGAGCCAAUAGAGGGCGGGGACUGUGGGCCUUCUUGGAAUUUGUGUCCGCAAAUGACACUGAAAAUCCUGGUUCAAUGAAGGGAGUGAGCUGAGCUCUGAACCCCAAAAGGACCAAUGCUGAGCCCAUCCCAAGCUGGGCCAUAGGACCUGGGGCAAGCCCCAGCUAAGGGAGAGGAGAAGGUGGGUGGGUUAGAGCAAGGAUAAAAUGUUGGUAGCCAUUAGAGUUAAUUCAUGAAUUCAGAGAAGUUGCAAGCUACCAGCUCAACACACAAAAAUCAGUCAUAUUUCUCUACAUUAAAAGCAAUGAAUAUCUGCACAGGAAAUGAAGAAAACAAUUUUCACAUUUAAUGCCAUUAAAGGAAUAAAAUAUGGGAACUCUGUGCUCUUUGCUCA
rnacentral:lncRNA from 1 species